rnacentral:lncRNA from 1 species
UCCCACCCGUGGCCUCGAGAUCAUCUUCGGCUGCGUCGUCCGUUGUCGCGAGGAGAUCACCAAGCUCGAGGGUCGUAGAAGCUCUCAUCAAUGACGAUCGGUGGUUCCGGUGGAUCUGGCGUCGUCGGCGAGGCAUCUCUACCCCUCCCCUCGUUCUCCAUCCCGUUUCAUUUGACCUAGGUUGGGGGCUUCAGAUCGAUCUAUGCAUAAAUCUUUCGCUGUAUGCUGAUUCACAAGGGGUUUCGCUACCCCGGGCCUAAAAGUUCGUUCUCGAUUGUUAUUAUUUGGGAGGAUUGAAUUGAUUCUGAUUGAUACCAUGGAGGGAUAAGAAUUCGGUCGAUAUCCGUUGAUAGGACAUCAUCCGUGAUAUGUAUCGGGCUGUGGACAAUCUUUGUUCUCUUAACAGCGAUUCUGUCGGUAGCGUGACUUGAUGUUACUGAUUGGAUAGCCUGUGAUACUUUUGUCAUGGACUUUCAAGAGGAUCGCUAAGAUCGCUAUGCCAUGAGAAUUGAUAAAGAUGAUGCGAGCGUUAUUAUUAGGAGGGAUCAUCGUCUUUGAUGUUCCAUCUAUUGGUAUCAGAAUUCCUCUAUGAUUCCUAUAGAAGAUAUCACCUUGUCAACCUUAAUGCAGUUAACUAUAUUUUUUGAUGGCAACAAGUAAAUUCCGAUCACCUUUUCUCAAAUGGAGAAUUGGCUUCUCAGAGAAAGAGACCUGAAGUGGUGACAUCAAGAUUUAGUAAAGAUCUCUUAUUAAGUUUAUUAUCAGACCAUGCUUUGAUAAGACCCAAUUGAAAUCUGCUAUUAGAGGAUGAAAGCAUCAGAAAUUCUUUCUUUGCACAUUGCAAAGCUGAUGGGCUUGUUCAAUGGCUUGUUUCUAGCUUAAGGGCACUAGUAGUUGCACAUAUCAUGGAUAUUUGAAGGAGCCAAGGCAAGACAGGUUUGUUUAUUCUUAGGCACUUGCCUAUGGGUUCCUGGCCACUGUACAUAAUGAGAAUGGAAGUCCCUACUGCAUCAGAAGUCAAUUGUGAAGCUGAAAACAUAGCAAGAGGACCUCUAGAUGUCAUCUGUUUAAUGAGCACCUGAUUGAAAAUGGAUGAUGAUCUCAAAGAAGAUUGUAUCGAUCAAGAUAAUCUUUUAAAUAAAGUUUUCAGCAAGGAAAUGCUAUAAAGCAAGGGAGAGCUUCACCGAGAAAUAUCUCAUGAAUUCAGUCUGGUAGUAGGAGGUUGGUUUUUGGUGUUGCAGCUUUUCUAGGUUGCCAUUGAUCUAAUUGUGGUGAGAUUUCCCUGAUCCGACAAAGAUGUUGGGAUUGUGGCAGGUUUUCAAAGACAUCUAAAUCCGACUUGACUCUACCCUCUGCUUUAAGUUCAUGUACCUUGAGAUCCCAAGUCUAGUAUUACCUGGUAUCUUAGUUUCCUAGUUCUCUAGGUUCAUGUGCCUCCCGUUCCUCUCUUUCUUAUUGCUCAUCGUCAUCCAAUGGACGUCACUUUCGUCCUAUUAUGGUUGUCUUCACCUUGUAAUCUUUGUCAAGUCAUAUCCGUGCAAUCGGAUCCGCUCCACCACGGGGGUUCAUAGGAGUUAAGCUUACAAUCAUCUAUAUUUUUAGAAAAAAGUAUUUCUUAUUUUUAUGAUAUAUUUUGUUAUUUUUUUCUCGAAUGGUAUUAUUUUUUAAUAACUUUUUUAAUCUCAUAAAUAUCCCUCAUCAUCAUCUAUCGCACGUCGCUUUCACCCAUAUAAUCGUAAUAGGUUCUUCACCCAUGUGAAUGAUGUCACAUAUAGUAGAACAAAUGGGUCUCACUGAUCUUGUGAGAGGAGGCACCUAUUGGUUGUUUUAAUUAAUAUUAUAUUUUUUUCUUAGGUUCGGAAGGACUAUGCGCACCCUCUUGAGCACCACCACCUCCUCUACUAUGGAGGAUAGAUUGUUGUUCUUAUCAUCUGUGACAAGGGGCAUACCCGAUCUAGUGGAAGCAUGUAAUGUUGAAGCCCAAUAACUCUCAUUUAUGGAAUUACAAAAAAGAUAUCACAAAAAAAA